UGGGGAUGAUAUCACGAGGCCAGGAACAGAGGAACGAAGACGGGAUCCAUCCUUAUACCAACUGCAAGGGAAAGAUUGAUAAUGACCAGGUGGACAUCUAGACCAAGGUUUGACCGACCCAAAGCACAAGCUUGCUACCAUAAAAUUAGACCUGGUGUCUAGCAAUUUGUCUGCCAAGAAAAGAGAGUUGGUAUUCCUUCAGAUGCAUUUGAACCUGUACCUGGAUCCCCUUCCCGCAUUAGCCGAAUGUAAAAGUCUU